GCAGAGAUCAAAGAAGCAGUAAAGUGCAAAAUAAAGAAAAUAGGAAGAGCUACGUAGAUUAAGUGGACUGGCACAGACUAACCCCUUCUGUCAGCAACUGGUUCUACAAAUCUGAAGUAUCAAAAUUCCCCUUCAUCUUAAAUUUGCUUGGAAGAAAAAUUUGUCAGCCCACUCAAAGCCAGGACUGAAAUACCUACAGCUGGCUCCCUUGGACUGAACUUGGACCCCUGCUGGACAAUGUCAUGCAGUGGAUUUCGGGAUGAGGAUCAGGGUCAGUUCGGCUUCUUCCUCAGUGUCCUGUGUUCAGCCUCUGGAACCGCCGUGGAGGAAUCCAUCCCUGCGAUCCUAGCUUUGCCGCCCCCCGCCCAAGCUAAAGCUGCCUUCGACUUUUUGGUUCCCUUAAGGGCUGAAGAUACACAAAUAAGAUAACUUUCCUCCUUCCCCAUGAUAAUAUUUUAAUAAUGAAGCCACGC